UACGUAGGUGGCAAGCGUUGUCCGGAUUUACUGGGCGUAAGGAGCGCGCAGGCGGUCGUUCAAGUCGCGUGUGAAAGCCCCCGGCUCAACUGGGGAGGGUCACGCGAUACUGAUCGACUCGAAGGCAGGAGAGGGUAGUGGAAUUCCCGGUGUAGUGGUGAAAUGCGUAGAUAUCGGGAGGAACACCAAUGGCGAAGGCAGCUCGCUGGGACGUUACUGACGCUGAGACGCGAAAGCGUGGGGAGCAAACAGG
rnacentral:rRNA from 1 species